rnacentral:rRNA from 1 species
GACGAACGCUGGCGGCGUGCUUAACACAUGCAAGUCGAACGAUGAAGCCUAGCUUGCUAGGUGGAUUAGUGGCGAACGGGUGAGUAAUACGUGAGUAACCUACCUUUAACUCUGGGAUAAGCCUGGGAAACUGGGUCUAAUACCGGAUACGACCAAUCUCCGCAUGGGGUGUUGGUGGAAAGCGUUAUGUAGUGGUUAUAGAUGGGCUCACGGCCUAUCAGCUUGUUGGUGAGGUAACGGCUCACCAAGGCGACGACGGGUAGCCGGCCUGAGAGGGUGACCGGCCACACUGGGACUGAGACACGGCCCAGAGUCCUACGGGGGGCAGCAGUGGGGGAUAUUGCACAAUGGGCGCAAGCCGUAUGCAGCGACGCCGGGUGAGGGAUGACGGCCUUCGGGUUGUAAACCUCUGUUAGCAGGGAAGAAGAGAAAUUGACGGUACCUGCAGAGAAAGCGCCGGCUAACUACGUG